rnacentral:rRNA from 1 species
AGUGAACGCUGGCGGUAGGCCUAACACAUGCAAGUCGAACGGCAGCACAGUAAGAGCUUGCUCUUACGGGUGGCGAGUGGCGGACGGGUGAGGAAUACAUCGGAAUCUACUUUUUCGUGGGGGAUAACGUAGGGAAACUUACGCUAAUACCGCAUACGGCCUACGGGUGAAAGCAGGGGAUCUUCGGACCUUGCGCGAUUGAAUGAUCCGAUGUCGGAUUAGCUAGUUGGCGGGGUAAAGGCCCACCAAGGCGACGAUCCGUAGCUGGUCUGAGAGGAUGAUCAGCCACACUGGAACUGAGACACGGUCCAGACUCCUACGGGAGGCAGCAGUGGGGAAUAUUGGACAAUGGGCGCAAGCCUGAUCCAGCCAUACCGCGUGGGUGAAGAAGGCCUUCGGGUUGUAAAGCCCUUUUGUUGGGAAAGAAAAGCAGCAGGUUAAUACCCCGCUGUUCUGACGGUACCCAAAGAAUAAGCACCGGCUAACUUCGUG